UUGAUCCUGGCUCAGAAUCAACGCUGGCGGCGUGCCUAACACAUGCAAGUCGAACGAGAAAGUGGAGCAAUCCAUGAGUAAAGUGGCGACCGGGUGAGUUACACGUGACUAACCUACCUUCAAGUGGGGGAUAACCUCGGGAAACCGGGUCUAAUACCGCAUAACAUCUUUGGGAUGGAAAUUCUGAAGAUCAAAGGAGUAAUUCGCUGGAAGAGGGGGUCGCGGCUGAUUAGCUAGUUGGCGGGGUAAUGGCCCACCAAGGCUUUGAUCGGUAGCCGGCCUGAGAGGGCGCACGGCCAUACUGGAACUGAAACACGGUCCAGACUCCUACGGGAGGCAGCAGUGGGGAUUUUUGCGCAAUGGGGGAAACCCUGACGCAGCAACGCCGCGUGGAGGAUGUAGUCCCUUGGGACGUAAACUCCUUUCGACCGGGACGAUAAUGACGGUACUGGUGGAAGAAGCCCCGGCUAACUUCGUGCCAGCAGCCGCGGUAAUAAGGUCGU
rnacentral:rRNA from 1 species